UACGUAGGGCGCAAGCGUUGUCCGGAAUUACUGGGCGUAAAGCGUGCGCAGGCGGUUUUGUAAGCCAGAUGUGAAAUCCCCGGGCUUAACCUGGGAAUGGCAUUUGGGACUGCAAGGCUGGAGUGCGGCAGAGGAGACUGGAAUUCCUGGUGUAGCAGUGAAAUGCGUAGAUAUCAGGAGGAACACCGAUGGCGAAGGCAGGUCUCUGGGCUGACACUGACGCUCAUGCACGAAAGCGUGGGGAGCAAACAGG
rnacentral:rRNA from 1 species